GGCCGCGGUAUUUUGACUGUGCAAAGGUAGCAUAAUCAUUAGUCUUUUAAUUGAAGGCUUGUAUGAAUGGUUGAAUGAGGUGAAUACUGUUUUAUAAUUAUUUAUUGAAUUUAGGUUUUAAGUAAAAAAACUUAAAUGUUAUUAAGGGACGAGAAGACCCUAUAGAGUUUAAUAAAUAUAAUAAUUAAUUAAGUUUUUGAAGGAAUUUUUAAUUAUUAUGAAAUUUAUUUAAUUGGGGUGAUUUAAAGAUAAAUAUAACUCUUUAUAAGUAUUAAUAUUUUAAUUAAUUUUUUGAUCCAUAAAUAAUGAUUAGAAGAUUUAAUUACCUUAGGGAUAACAGCAUAA
rnacentral:rRNA from 1 species